ACUAGGCACAGUAGGCCACAUGUGUAUGUUAAAUCAGUUUUUCUUAUAUUCAUUUUUGAGUUUCUCUUAUUUUUCAGUGGCCCUGAGCGGUGUCUGCUCCGGUGCAACACCGCCCCCUGCUGGUGAAGGAUAUUGAAAGGCGUCUCUCCGUCAGUGACACGGAGCACGGUGCCGUCCGGAAGUCAGUGACCGUCAGGACUCAAAUCCGCCUGUUUCACUGAUGUGUGGAGUCUAGUCGUGGAUUCGAUUCCUUGCCUGGACCCAUCCACUUUGAACCACUACCCUCCCUCCACGAAGUCCCCCUGCAGAAAAGGGUUCCAGGAAAGAAGAAAGACAAAGAGAGAGAGAAGCUGAGAGCACUGACCUCCUCACCCUCUCUUGUUCCGGCUCCAUGGUUUUUUUGUGUUGUUGUUGUUGUUUUUGCUGUUGUUGUUGUUGUUGUUGUUUGUUUCUCUCCCACGCUCGCGUCCUCCUGGAGCUGGGGGCUCUUGCUCUUGCAGGAGACGACAGGUGUCACUGUAUCCUUGCGCUUUUUGUCUGCGCCCUCGUGCGCCAACAAGCGCCACGACAAGCAGAACAAAAAAAUUAAAUAAAUAAGAAAGAAAGAAUAAGCGGACAGACACACCCACUUCCAGCUGAAAAACCUUUCUCACAGUUCUCAGAUACUGCUGCACACCACAGGAGAUCAAGUAAUCAUUCUUGAAUUAUUCAUUUAUAAUAUAGCAGUUUGGUCCAAAAAUGCCAAGAGUUCAUUGGAAUCAGAUUACCAAACAUCGUCCUUCUUUGGAGACAUCUUGGCCUCCUUUUGGAAAUGUUCGUCACGUGUUGCAAUGAUCAUGGGACCAAAAGCAGGAACUACACUCAACAUCACAACAACGUGAGAGACGCGUCCAUCCAGUGGGCACGACGCAGAGUCUGAGAUGCUCAGGGUGACCACGUUGUGCACACACACACACACACACACACGUGCGCGCGCACACACGAGCACUCUGUGUACUUCCACAGUGUCUGAGGAAUUUUCCUCCCCUAAGCCGAAGCCUUGCAGUGAGUUUUGACCUUACCACAGAAGAAGAGCACAAACAAUACAUUAACAAUGCUGAGAGCCGGAGCUUUUGUGGUGAGAUGGGGCUCCAAUUCCAGGAAGACGCUGUCUGCGAGUUUGGGAAAUGAUGAGUCCCCUGAUGGAUGAAAUCUGAAGAAAUGAUGCAGAAAUGAUGGAGAACAACAACAGUGUUGUCCGUCCAUAAAAGGGCAGGGAAUCGGAGUUUAAAGUCAUAUUGGCUACGAGUUCUUUCUGAUAAACUUGUAUCAGAGGUACAGAGGACGUAGCUAGUAUGACUAGUCUAAUGAAACCAAACAUGGUGAAAUUCUCCUUACAUCUAACAAUAAAUAUUGGUCUUAUUAUUAUAUAUUUUUUUGAGCUACAUCCUCUCUCACAUUCUCAGCUUUAAAUCUCCUGCACACUGUCCGUCUUAGUGCAGGUUGAUUACAUCUCAGUCAAAUCAAACUUAACCCAGUUAUCCACUAAUGAAAAUGACAGUUAAUUAGCUCACUUACACUGUUCACGUCUUCUAUCACAUGACACUUCUUAAUUAUGUGGGGGAAAUCAUGUUGGAGCUCGUUUUGUGUGUGUGCAUGAUGUAGUUAAACAGCAAAGGACAAAUUAUUGUAGGUGUCAGAUUAGGGUUCGAUGUUUGUGUUGGGCAGAUGACACGCUGAAUUUACCAAAUACACAUUACGUCAUGUCAAAUACAGCUGCGUACAGACAGAGAAUAUCUGAGUAGCUUUAUUAAAUGUACAUAUAAUCAAAGAAUGACUGUCAAACUGUAAAAAAAAGAGUUACAUUUACCCCCUAGAAUCCUUUUUUUUUCUCUAUAUAUUUUUAUUGUACAAGGAAGAUGAAAUGCAGCCUGACCCUGUUUGUACAGGUAACUGCUCUCAAGUCACAUGUGUAAACACCAAAGUGGCUUUUCAGGUGUUUCCUGUGGGCGAACCCUCGGCGAUAGGCCACAGACUCUGUGAAUCAGUGUGAGGUCUGCUCCUGACUGCGGUCGGGGGCUCCCUCUUGUGCAGCCCCUGGCGAGUGAGAGGUGGAUCGUAAAACAUUUAUAAUAACACGCCUCUGCUGGUAUACAGGUGGUGUCCUUUGGGUGCUGCCUAGCAACUGAGUCCAGCUGAUGCACUGCAAAAAAUGCACCCCCCCCCCCC